AUACGUAGGGGGCGAGCGUUGUCCGGAAUGAUUGGGCGUAAAGGGCGCGUAGGCGGCCCGGUAAGUCUGGAGUGAAAGUCCUGUUUUUAAGAUGGGAAUUGCUUUGGAUACUGUCGGGCUUGAGUGCAGGUGAGGGAAGUGGAAUUCCCAGUGUAGCGGGGAAAUGCGUAGAGAUUGGGAGGAACACCAGUGGCGAAGGCGACUUACUGGACUGUAACUGACGCUGAGGCGCGAAAGUGUGGGGAGCAAACAGGAUUAGAUACCCUGGUAGUCCACACUGUAAACGAUGAAUGCUAGGUGUAGGGGGUAUCGACCCCUUCUGUGCCGCAGUCAACACAAUAAGCAUUCCGCCUGGGGAGUACGGCCGCAAGGUUGAAACUCAAAGGAAUUGACGGGG
rnacentral:rRNA from 1 species